GGGUCUGUGGCUCAGUGGUAGAGCGCUCGCCUAGCACCUGUGAAGCCCUGGGUUCGAUCCUCAGCACCA
rfam:Ictidomys tridecemlineatus contig144094, whole genome shotgun sequence.